rnacentral:rRNA from 1 species
UGGGGGAUAUUGCACAAUGGGCGAAAGCCUGAUGCAGCGACGCCGCGUGGGGGAUGAAGGCUUUCGGGUUGUAAACCUCUUUCGCUAUCGAACAAGGCCCGCUUAGGGUGGGUUGAGGGUAGGUGGAGAAGAAGCGCCGGCUAACUACGUGCCAGCAGCCGCGGUAAUACGUAGGGCGCGAGCGUUGUCCGGAAUUAUUGGGCGUAAAGGGCUUGUAGGCGGCUUGUUGCGCCUGCUGUGAAAACGCGGGGCUUAACUUCGCGCGUGCAGUGGGUACGGGCAGGCUUGAGUGUGGUAGGGGUGACUGGAAUUCCAGGUGUAGCGGUGGAAUGCGCAGAUAUCUGGAGGAACACCGAUGGCGAAGGCGGGUCACUGGGCCAUUACUGACGCUGAGGAGCGAAAGCAUGGGUAGCGAACAGG